rfam:Vibrio ponticus DNA, contig: contig00003_14, strain: JCM 19238.
AAACACAGAAGAGGAGCACUGCCUAGGUAGAUGCAUCGUGGAGCCGCAACUCCAACACGAUUCAUUGAGGGAGAGUAGUGCCGAGACAUCGCUAAAUUGUCGGUUUAGUGAAGUCGGUUGACCUGAGUUGACUCUCAUCAACUGUCAUCAGCACUGUCUGAUGAUGCGCUUCUGAGGUG